AGGUACACACAUGAGCUGUAAGCUCUCACAGCCAGCCUUACUCUUAAACGGGACCAGAGUUGCUGAGUUACACGCUGCAAGGGAACUCAUUCCAAGGAGGCCUGAAUAAAUAACUUGCCUGGUGAUUCAAGGAGAUGCAAAUUCUGCGAUCCCAGAUUUCAUCAAUAUUGCUUGCUAGCUGGGAGACCUUACUCAUGGCUACAUACCCAGGUAGAAUAAAUCUACUUUGCAUUUAGAAAAAAAAAAAAAAAAAAAAAAAAAAAAAAUUUGCAGAAGAAAUGCAAAUUUGAUACAAGUGUGACAUUCAAAAUCCUUCAAAGUAGAAAUACAGAAGACAUGAAUGUGCAGAAGAAUGCAGAGUAGCCCUUUGAAACAGGGCUCUCCUAAGAGGUACUUCAGCACAGCCAGCUACUGCCACUAUGCCCACCAGUAAUGAACAAAACCACACCACUAAGACCUCUCCAGCAUUAAUUCCGGCUGACCUCAGCAGUGAAAAGACGCAGCCAUCUUUGUGCCAUGCUCACACCAGCUCAGCGCCACGGGUGCAGCGCAGGGUCCACAUCAGAGAUCUCCUCAGCCUUUCAUCAUGAUUCAUUGCGCCAUUCAGUGCGAAUCAUAAGCUACAAAAUUGCAUUAUCAGUACAGCUCUUUUUAAUCAAUUCAAGACGAAGAUAACACAGACAGCUGCUAUUUCAAAGGACACUUUGUAUAUGUAGCUCGAGCAGUCACGUCUGAAGUGGAGAUUCUCUCCGAUUCAGGAACCUAUUUAUUGCUGUCUGCGUUGUGUGGCAGCACCGCAGCCGUCAUUACACUCGCAGCAGAGGUAUUUAUACAUCGUGAUUUGCCUAAGGACUUCUUCCUCUGCCGGGCCUCACUUCAGCAAAACAUCAAAAUAGGUGCUCAAGAUCAUGCCCCAGU